UGGGGAAUAUUGGACAUUGGGCGAAAGCCUGAUCCAGCCAUGCCGCGUGUGUGAAGAAGGUCUUCGGAUUGUAAAGCACUUUACGUUGGGAGGAAGGGCAUUAACCUAAUACGUUAGUGUUUUGACGUUACCGACAGAAUAAGCACCGGCUAACUCUGUGCCAGCAGCCGCGGUAAUACAGAGGGUGCAAGCGUUAAUCGGAAUUACUGGGCGUAAAGCGCGCGUAGGUGGUUUGUUAAGUUGGAUGUGAAAUCCCCGGGCUCAACCUGGGAACUGCAUUCAAAACUGACUGACUAGAGUAUGGUAGAGGGUGGUGGAAUUUCCUGUGUAGCGGUGAAAUGCGUAGAUAUAGGAAGGAACACCAGUGGCGAAGGCGACCACCUGGACUAAUACUGACACUGAGGUGCGAAAGCGUGGGGAGCAAACA
rnacentral:rRNA from 1 species